AAUUGGGCGGGUUGACAAAAAACAGAUUAAUUAUUAAAGGGCUGCGGUAUAUUAACUGUACAAAGGUAGCAUAAUCAUUAGUCUUUUAAUUGAAGACUUGUAUGAAAGAUUUGAUGAAAUAUAAACUGUCUCUAAUUUAUUUUUGUAGAAUUUAAUUUUUUAGUAAAAAAGCUAAAAUAAAAUUAAAAGACGAGAAGACCCUAUAGAGUUUUAUAAUUAGAUUAAUUAAUGUAAAUUUAUACAUAUAUAAUUAUAAAAAAAAUUAAUUUAAUUAUUUUAUUGGGGUGAUAAAAAAAUUAAAAAAACUUUUUUUUUAAUAAAACAUUAAUAAGUGAAAAAAUGAUCCAUUAAUAAUGAUUAUAAGAAAAAAUUACCUUGGGGAUAACAGCGUAAUAUUUUUUUUUAGUACAAAUAAAAAAAAAAGUUUGCGACCUCGAUGUUGGAUUAAAAUAAAAUUUAAAUGCAAAAGUUUAAAAUUUUGAUCUGUUCCAUCAUUAAAAUCUUACAUG
rnacentral:rRNA from 1 species